GUUUCUCGAAGUUUUGGGUUCUUGGUCAAGUUACUACUUUCCUGAGUUGAAGUAAGUAUUAUGAAGUCUCUAUUAGCUCGAAUGACCUGCUGAAUCCUUGUUUGCUUGAUCACUGGAUCUCGUUGUACUGUAAAACAUGGCGGCCUAUAGUUCUGACUUUAAACACCUUUUCUCCAAUCUGGGGCAGAGUUAGGUAUGAAUAUGAAACCAAUGAAGAUAAAUUGUCUGUUGUUUCUUGUAUUGACUCUUUUCAGAAGAAAUAUAGAUUUUUAUGAAGUUUUUU